rnacentral:rRNA from 1 species
AUGCUUUUCCUAAAGAUUAAGCCAUGCAUGCCUAAGACUAUGAGGAAGCAAUUCUCUCUGAAUCUGCGAACGGCUCCGCAAACCAGUUGUAAACCAUAGCAGCGUUCCGCCCGGCUUCAGCAAUGGAGCCGGGCAUUAUAUGGAUAACCGUGGUAAUUCUGAGGCUAAUACAUAACAAACAAACCUGCCGGGCCGGGGCAACUCUGGCCAGGCGGGGACGUGCAAAAUCCCAUUGCUAUAAACAAAACCACGAAUGAAUG